rnacentral:rRNA from 1 species
GAUGAACGCUGACAGAAUGCUUAACACAUGCAAGUCUUUGGCGAAGCUGUGCUUGCACAGCCUAGCCAAGGCGGACGGGUGAUUAACGCGUAAGGAACUUGCCCUGCAGUCAGGGAUAACAGACGGAAACGACUGAUAAAACCUGAUAAAGUCAGACGGACUCAUGUCCAGUCUGAUGAAAAGAAAUGCUGCAGGAGAGCCUUGCGUCCUAUUAGCUUGUUGGUGGGGUAACGGCCCACCAAGGCGAUGAUAGGUAGCCGGCCUGAGAGGGUGGACGGCCACAAGGGGACUGAGAUGCGGCCCUUACUCCUACGGGAGGCAGCAGUGGGGAAUAUUGGACAAUGGGGGCAACCCUGAUCCAGCAAUUCUGUGUGCACGAUGAAGGUUUUCGGAUUGUAAAGUGCUUUCAGCAGGGAAGAAAAAAAUGACGGUACCUGCAGAAGAAGCGACGGCUAAAUACGUGCCAGCAGCCGCGGUAAUACGUAUGUCGCAAGCGUUAUCCGGAAUUAUUGGGCAUAAAGGGCAUCUAGGCGGCUAGAUAAGUCUGGGGUGAAAACUUGCGGCUCAACCGCAAGCCUGCCCUGGAAACUAUGUGGCUAGAGUACUGGAGAGGUGGACGGAACUGCACGAGUAGAGGUGAAAUUCGUAGAUAUGUGCAGGAAUGCCGAUGAUGAAGAUAGUUCACUGGACGGUAACUGACGCUGAAGUGCGAAAGCUAGGGGAGCAAACAGG